GACGAACGCUGGCGGCGUGCUUAACACAUGCAAGUCGAACGGAAAGGCCCUGCUUUUGUGGGGUGCUCGAGUGGCGAACGGGUGAGUAACACGUGAGUAACCUGCCCUUGACUUUGGGAUAACUUCAGGAAACUGGGGCUAAUACCGGAUAGGAGCUCCUGCUGCAUGGUGGGGGUUGGAAAGUUUCGGCGGUUGGGGAUGGACUCGCGGCUUAUCAGCCUGUUGGUGGGGUAGUGGCUUACCAAGGCUUGGACGGGUAGCCGGCCUGAGAGGGGGACCGGCCCCAUUGGGACUGAGCUACGGCCCAGAGUACUACGGGAGGCAGGAGGGGGGAAUAUUGCCUGAAGGGCGGAAGCCUGAUGCAGCAACGCCGCGUGCGGGAUGACGGCCUUCGGGUUGUAAACCGCUUUCGCCUGUGACGAUGCGUGAGUGACGGUAAUGGGUAAAGAAGCACCGGCUAACUACGUG
rnacentral:rRNA from 1 species